GAACGCAUAUUGCGCUCUUUGGUAUUCCGAAGAGCAUGCUUGUUUGAGUAUCAGUAAACACCUCAAAACUUUUUUUUAUUUUUUGAAAAACAGUUUUGGACUUGAGCAAUCCCAACACCAAUCUUUUUUAGAUCGGUGGCGGGUUGCUUGAAAUGCAGGUGCAGCUGGACAUUCUCCUGAGCUAAAAGCAUAUUUAUUUAGUCCCGUCAAACGGAUUAUUACUUUUGCUGCAGCUAAUAUAAAGGGAGUUUGACCGUUUUGGCUGACUGAUGCAGGAUUUCACAAGGGUCGGCAACGAUUCUUGUAAAACUCGAUCUCAAAUCAAGUAAGACUACCCGCUGAACUUA
rnacentral:misc_RNA from 1 species